GAGCCUGGUCCCAAAGGAAGCAAGUAUAAAACAACACGUGUGUUUAGUCCUUGUGCUUUUUAGAUGUGUUCAUGACUUAUAUUUUAAGAAACAGCAGUUAAUGGUGUUUUCAUUUUUCAUCGUCAACCUCCCAUUCUGUUUCUCUAGGGUGAGAGGGGGAAUAAUGAUGUGACUGAGACCCCUGGCACAAGAGUAUUUAACUUUUCCCCUCUCUCGACUCUACUUGAGGGGCAUGCAUUACUCGUAACUGAUAUAGAUGUUCAUACUGCCUUUUAGACUCUGAUUUCAUGUUUUUCCAUGUCAUUGCCGCUCUGUAGGGUGAAACUGGGCUCAGAGGAAGCAAAGGAGAGAAAGGUGUAUCAGGAGACACUGGAGCCAGAGGGCCAGAGGGAAGGAAGGGGUGUGGGUCUGAUGGGAGCUGCUGGGCCUUGUGCCUCUCCUGGACAAGAUGGGUUACCAGGGAAAUCAGGAGAGCUUGGAUACCCAGGGAAACCUGGGAAGCCACCAACUGAUGACCACUUGAUGAAGCUUUGCGCUAAUGUACUUCCGAGUAUGUUCCCUGCUAUUUUUUUUAUGCAUGACUAUU